UCCUCCCUCAAACCUCGUGUUUGGUGUUGGACCGCGUUGGUUGAGUGACCAACUGGUCUCAAAGACAAUGACGGCGUCCGUGGGACCCUCGGUGCAACGAGCUUUUAACGAGCACGCGUCGAGUUUCAAGGACCCUCCGGGCCGGUCUAGACCUCUAUUUUUCUUA
rnacentral:misc_RNA from 1 species